rnacentral:rRNA from 1 species
AAGCGACUAAGCGUACACGGUGGAUGCCCUGGCAGUCAGAGGCGAUGAAGGGCGUGCUAAUCUGCGAUAAGCGCCGGUAAGGUGAUAUGAACCGUUAUAACCGGCGAUACCCGAAUGGGGAAACCCAGUGUGAUUCGUCACACUAUCAUUAACUGAAUCCAUAGGUUAAUGAGGCGAACCGGGGGAACUGAAACAUCUAAGUACCCCGAGGAAAAGAAAUCAACCGAGAUUCCCCCAGUAGCGGCGAGCGAACGGGGAGGAGCCCAGAGCCUGAAUCAGCAUGUGUGUUAGUGGAAGCGUCUGGAAAGGCGCGCGAUACAGGGUGACAGCCCCGUACACAAAAGCGCAUGUGCUGUGAGCUCGAUGAGUAGGGCGGGACACGUGGUAUCCUGUCUGAAUAUGGGGGGACCAUCCUCCAAGGCUAAAUACUCCUGACUGACCGAUAGUGAACCAGUACCGUGAGGGAAAGGCGAAAAGA